rnacentral:siRNA from 1 species
UUGCAUGAUUGUGAUAAUGAUC